GAUGAACGCUGGCGGCGUGCCUAAUACAUGCAAGUCGAGCGAACGGACGAGAAGCUUGCUUUUCUGAUGUUAGCGGCGGACGGGUGAGUAACACGUGGAUAACCUACCUAUAAGACUGGGAUAACUUCGGGAAACCGGAGCUAAUACCGGAUAAUAUUUUGAACCGCAUGGUUCAAAAGUGAAAGACGGUCUUGCUGUCACUUAUAGAUGGAUCCGCGCUGCAUUAGCUAGUUGGUAAGGUAACGGCUUACCAAGGCAACGAUGCAUAGCCGACCUGAGAGGGUGGUCGGCCACCCUGGAACUGAGAAACGGUACAGACUCCUACGGGAGGCAGCAGUAGGGAAUCUUCCGCAAUGGGCGAAAGGCUGACGGAGCAACGCCGCGUGAGUGAUGAAGGUCUUCGGAUCGUAAAACUCUGUUAUUAGGGAAGAACAUAUGUGUAAGUAACUGUGCACAUCUUGACGGUACCGAAUCAGAAAGCCACGGCUAACUACGUG
rnacentral:rRNA from 1 species